rnacentral:rRNA from 1 species
GUGAGACGGGAAGCGUGGGAGCAACAGGAUAGAUACCUGUAGUCACGCCUAAGCGAUGUACACUAGUGUGUGAGCUCGACGUGCAGUAUGCAGUACACAUAAGUGUACCGCCUGGGGAGUACGGUCGCAAGAUAAAACUCAAAGGAAUAGACGGGGACCCGCACAAGCGGUGGAUGAUGUGGUUUAAUUCGAUGCAACGCGAAAAACCUUACCCACCUUUGACAUGGCAGGAAUCCUUUAGAGAUAGAGGAGUGCUCGAAAGAGAACCUGCACACAGGUGCUGCAUGACUGUCGUCAGCUCGUGUCGUGAGAUGUUGGGUUAAGUCCCGCAACGAGCGCAACCCUUGUCAUUAGUUGCUACGAAAGGGCACUCUAAUGAGACUGCCGGUGACAAACCGGAGGAAGGUGGGGAUGACGUCAAGUCCUCAUGGCCCUUAUGGGUAGGGCUUCACACGUCAUACAAUGGUCGGUACAGAGGGUUGCCAAGCCGCGAGGUGGAGCCAAUCCCUUAAAGCCGAUCGUAGUCCGGAUCGUAGUCUGCAACUCGACUACGUGAAGUCGGAAUCGCUAGUAAUCGUGGAUCAGAAUGUCACGGUGAAUACGUUCCCGGGCCUUGUACACACCGCCCGUCACACCAUGGGAGUGGGUUGCUCCAGAAGUAGCUAGUCUAACCUUCGGGAGGACGGUUACCACGGAGUGAUUCAUGACUGGGGUGAAGUCGUAACAAGGUAACCAGGUUACCUUGUUACGACUUGGUUACCUUGUUACGACUUGUACCGCGGCCUGCUGGCACACCAUGG